rnacentral:rRNA from 1 species
CCUACGGGAGACAGCAGUGAGGAAUAUUGGUCAAUGGACGCAAGUCUGAACCAGCCAAGUAGCGUGCAGGAUGACGGCCCUCCGGGUUGUAAACUGCUUUUAGUUGGGAAUAAACGGGGGCUCGUGAACCCCGUAUUGUAUGUACCAUCAGAAAAAGGACCGGCUACUUCCGUGACAGCAGCCGCGGUAAUACGGAAGGUCCGGGCGUUAGCCGGAUUUAUGGGGUUUAAAGGGUGCGUAGGCGGAAUGCCAAGUCAGCGGUAAACUCGCGGGGCUCAACCUCGCUCCGCCGUUGAAACUGGCGUUCUUGAGUGGGCGAGAAGUAUGCGGAAUUCGUGGUGUAGCGGUGAAAUGCGUAGAUAUCACGCAGAACUCCGGUUGCGAAGGCAGCAUACCGGAGCCCAACUGACGCUGAAGCACGAAAGAGUGGGUAUCGAACAGGAUUAGAUACCCGUGUAGUC